rnacentral:rRNA from 1 species
UACGUAGGGUCCGAGCGUUGUCCGGAUUUAUUGGGCGUAAAGAGCUCGUAGGCGGUUCCGUAAGUCAGAUGUGAAAACUCAGGGCUCAACCCGGAGACGCCAUCUGAUACUGCGGUGACUGGAGUCUGGUAGGGGAACACGGAAUUCCUGGUGUAGCGGUGAAAUGCGCAGAUAUCAGGAGGAACACCAGAAGCGAAGGCGGCUCACUGGCCCGAGACUGACGCUGAGGCGCGAAAGCGUGGGGAGCAAACAGG